GCUGCGCGUGUGCGCCAUCGUGCGCUAUCGUCCAUAAACGUAUUUUGUCCCCCUACACAAAACGCGAUCACGACACCCAGUUAAAAUAUCAAAACAAACGGCAUUAAUUUGGGGACAGGUCGAAAAGCAUUAAACAUGUAGAUGCCAAUCACUAUAUAAGUUCAAAGAUGAAAAAGCCUGGAAGGAGGAGAGAUGACUAGAAACGAUUCGGUUGGCCGUUUUAUGUGUGGAUUAAUUCGUGGAGCUUGUGCAUUUCAGGUAAAAUAACAACUCAGAAUGUUUAUAUCCCAGGACAAAUUAGCUAGCAACAGCAAGCUAGCUAAAUAGGACAAAUUAGCUAGCAACUGCAAGCUAACUAGCUAAAUUGCCUUACAUGUUUAAUGCUUUUCGACCUGUCCCCAAAUGAAUGUCAUUGGUUCAGUUUGUUUUGCUAUUUUAACCUGCUUGUCUUGAUCGCGUUUGGUGUAGGGGUACACAAUAAAUGUAUGCACGAUAGUGCACGCGCGCAGCCGUUAUGGGUUCCAUGUUAGGAGCAUUCAGUCCUGCAGUACACCUGCAAUGUGACAAUAGGCCUUGUCUGCCCUCUAGUGGUACCAUAUUAAACUUAUAAAGAAUGCACUCUAACCCACAGAAUUUAUGAUACCACUUGUGUGUGUGAAUUUAUAAGGUCAGUUUAUAGUUUCUGUGAAAAUGAUAAGGCGAAAUUAACAGCCUGUUAUUUUUGUUGAUUUUACACACCUAUUAUGCUCCCUUUGAAAGGCAUUGGUCUGUCAACAAGUCUUAUUCAAAAGCUUCAUUACAAAUAUUGCACACACUGAGAAUACAAAACAUUAACAGUUUAAAUAAGGAUUUUUAAGUCUUGAGACAUGGAUUUUGUAUGUCAAAUCAAAAUCAAAUGUAUGUGUCACAUACACAUGGUUAGCAGAUGUUAAUGCGAGUGUAGCGAAAUGCUUGUGCUUCUAGUUCCGACAAUGCAGUAAUAACCAACGAGUAAUCUAACCUAACAAUUCCAAAACUACUACCUUAUACACACACACACACACACACACACACACACACACACACACACACGUGUAAAGGGAUAAAGAAUAUGUACAUAAAGAUAUAUGAAUGAGUGAUGGUACAGAACGGCAUAGGCAAGAUGCCGAUGGUAUCGAGUACAGUAUAUACAUAUGAGAUGAGUAAUGUAGGGUAUUAAAACAUAUUUAGUAGCAUCGUUUAAAGUGGCUAGUGAUAUAUUUUACAUCAAUUUCCAUCAAUUCCCAUUAUUAAAGUGGCUGGAGUUGAGUCAGUGUGUUGGCAGCAGCCACUCAAUGUUAGUGGUGGCUGUUUAACAGUCUGAUGGCCUUAAGAUAGAAGCGGUUUUUCAAUCUCUCGGUCCCUGCUUUGAUGCACCUGUACUGACCUCGCCUUCUGGAUGAUAGCGGGGUGAACAGGCAGUGGCUCGGGUGGUGUAGGUGUCCUGGAGGGCAGGUAGUUUGCCCCCGGUGAUGCGUUGUGCAGACCUCACUACCCUCUGGAGAGCCUUACGGUUGUGGGCGGAGCAGUUGCCGUAUCAGGCGGUGAUACAGCCCGACAGGAUGCUCUCGAUUAUGCACCUGUAGAAGUUUGAGAGCUUUUGGUGACAAGCCACAUUUCUUCAGCCUCCUGAGGUUGAAGAGGCGCUGCUGCGCCUUCUUCACGACACUGUCUGUGUGGGUGGACCAAUUCAGUUUGUCCGUGAUGUGUACGCCAAGGAACUUAAAACUUACUACACUCUCCACUACUGUCCCAUCGAUGUGGAUAGGUGGGUGCUCCCUCUGUUUCCUGAAGUCCACAAUCAUCUCCUUUGUUUUGUUGACAUUGAGUGUGAGGUUAUUUUCCUGACACCACACUCAGAGGGCUCUCACCUCCUCCCUGUAGGCCGUCUCGUCGUUGUUGGUAAUCAAGCCUACCACUGUAGUGCCAUUCAGAGGGUGAAUGGGCAAGACAAAAUAUUGAAGUGCCUUUGAAUGGGUUAAUGGUAGUAGGUGCCAGGCUUGUGUCAAGAACUGCAACACUGCUGGGUUUUUCACUCAACAGUUUCCCAUGUGUAUCAAUAGUCGGUGGUGGACCAAAAUGCAUCCAGCCAACUUGACACAAUUGUGGGAAGCAAUAGAGUCAACAUGGGCCAGCAUCCCAGUGGAACGCUUUCAACACCUUGUAGAGUCCAUCCCCCGACAAAUUGAGGGGUGCAACUCAAUAUUAGGAAGGUGUUCCUAAUGUUUGGUACUAAGUGUAUAAUGGCAUUUCCAUGUGCCAACUCUCAUGGGAUUGAAUGGAAUUUUCCGACCUACACUACUACCACGUCACAACAGAAUACUAUACAUGAAACAAGCAUGGAGUAGGUUUGUGGAAAAAUGUACUGUUCUACACUGUAAAUUACAUCCUUCAGUGACCAAUAGAACAAACAUCAGUGUUCACCAACCAGCUGGGCUUGCUCUUUUUAACUCAGCCCACAUGAAAAUCAAUAAAUGAGGUCUGUCACUUAACUACGGUCCCUGAUUUUUUUGUAAACGUGUGUGACACUUCUCCACUUGGCUGGAUCCCAUCAGACUCAGUCCAAUUGAUUGUCAAACAGAUGUCAUCUGAAAUUAAGGGUAUAAACUUAACAAGCAAUGUUCUACAUUCCUCCCUCACACUAUGCUGUCUGAAUAGCGGUUUGAGAGGACCCAGCUGGCCUUCAUGGCAGAGCAGUGCUCCAGCCCCUGUGCCUGUCCCCCAACACUGUAGGAUGUCACAGUUGGGCCAAGACACCUUAUCAAUCGGAAUGGUGGGGUGGAGGGACAAUAAAACUACUAUAGUUUGACAUUCUCCCUCCACCCACUAUAUCCCUCUGAUUGUUCCUCAUUACCAGGGGAUGAACAUUGCAGGCAAAUGUGGAGAGAGGGAGAAAACUUCAUUGUAAGCCCUUGGGUCUCAGUUUGUGGAUGGGGCUCGGUGUGAAACAGACAGUCCAGCUCCCUUGGGUGCCACCACAGCUUGUCAAAGAAGGGAUGUGCCAGGUAAACGCCUGCUUGGGUUUCUCCACCUUAGAACUUUCUAAGAGACAAUUUGAAAUAUUAUUAGACCUGACAUGUCCUCAUAAGCUAAUGGGCCAUAAUUUCUACCGGUCUUCCACCAGCUGUUUGGCUGUGAUGGAGUGUUGUAGUCUGGGAAGGUGGAGGAGAUGGUUCCUCCUGCAGUCUCACCUCUCAGUCUUACAGUGGUGGUCAGGCCAGAGGUCAAGACACACAUCACACCUCUAAUCAUUCUGGAGAAUGACCAGAUCUAUCUCCGCUCAGUUGCAGUUAAUAAACUCUCCUCCCCAGUUUAUUUGAUUCUCAAAGUACCUCACAUUCCUGACCUUGCCAGUGAAUGCCACUCAGGUUCACAUUGCCAACAGGGCACCUGUCUUCACUCACCUGGGUGAGUAUCUGGGGUGACCGUGGGUGGUUUUAAAUGCCGCUCCCCCCCCCCCCCCCCAGUAACUGAAAGGUUGCAAGAUCAAAUCCCCGAGCUGACAAGGUAAACAUCUGUCGUUCUGUCCCUGAACAAGGCAGUUAACCCACUGUUCCUAAGCAGUCAUUGAAAAUUAUAAUUUGUUCUUAACUGACUUGCCUAGUUAAAUAAAAAGGUAAAAUAAAAAAAUAAGUCACUUUGGAUAAAGUUUCAUAGUGCUGUGCUGCCUUUGAUGUACAAAUUAUUUUUGACAUAAGAGUUGUAAUGUCAAACAUGAGACGUACGAUUAAACAAUCAUUUUUUGUUUGUGGUAAUAGAUCAUUUUUCCAAAAUAAAAGGAGGACACUGAACUGACCUCCAGGACCAACAUCCUGCUGGACUCUCCGGUCUCCUGGAAACAGUGUUGCUCACUUACAGCAGUCAGAAGACCUCCAAGAAGAGUAACCACUCAUCACCAGGGUAUGACGGUACGGAGCGGCCAUGGGCUGAAACAGAAGAGUCAUUGAGAAUCCAACGAUGACCUCAGCUUUGGGCCGUCUCACCUUUCAAGUGCUCAUCAAUGCCCCUCCCUCAGUAAAGAUCAGGAUCCAGCCUCUGCACAUGGGCCCCAUGGACAACAGCACAGCAGCCCACCUUCAUUAUGGUGAGGGAAGAGGGAGACAGUUUGCAUUGAAAUAUUGAAGAAUCAAAACAGAACUAUCUAGUUGAGUGUAAAUUAAACAAUGAACCUUCAUCUUGACAUGUAUGUCAUUGUAAAAAACAUGAUGUCUCCAAUACCAUCUGCAUUACAUACGAGAUGUAGAUGUCUUGAAGACCAACAUGUUCAAGGGCCAACAGCUCUUUCACUAGCGCUCAGCUGGAAACAUGGUGGCGAUAGAAUUCCAUGGCAAGUACCUGUAUAGCAAGGGUAGCUUCCGAGCAAAAUACUCAUUUGUGGAGCCUUGAUCUGUGGCUUGCCUAUUAUACAGUAUUUAAUGACAUUUAGGCAGUUACUGGAGGACAGUUUUUCCUUAGUUUAAUCAUUUGUCAGGUUUUGUAACAUUAAAAUAAAUACUCAAAGUGUAAAUGAUUAUCAUUACAGCAGUCUUUGGUUUAGUUUUUUUUAGUUGUAUAGAACACAUUUACCAAUGUGAAUCACAGCAGAACCACUCAGCAAGUCAUUAUUAUGGCUCAUCUGGUAUAGUAUGGCACACAAUUUCAUUUCUUAAAUAACUUAACUGUUGAACUGAUUAUUUUUUAAAUAUGAAAUUUUACCCAAGUAUGUAGGUAAACAAACUGUAUAAAUGCAUGUAAAAACCACCAGAAUAAUAUUUAAGACAGCACCAACAUGUGUAGACUUAAAAAUAAAAAAUAAACAUUUUUU